rnacentral:rRNA from 1 species
AUGGCGAUGGCGUCGCGCGCGCGGACGCGGUGGUCGGCGCUGGCGGCGAGCACGCUGAUCCAGUGCUUCGCGGGCGGCAGCUACUGCUUCGGCGUCUACUCGCCGGCGCUCAAGGCGUCGCAGGGCUACGACCAGUCCGCGCUCGACGCCGUCGCCUUCUUCAAGGACGUCGGCGCUAACGUCGGGGUCCUCUCCGGCCUCCUCGCCGCGUGGGCUCCCUCUGGGGGCCGGAGGCGACCCUGGCUCGUCCUCCUCACCGGCGCCGCGCUCUGCGCCGCCGGGUACCUCCCCAUGUGGCUCGCCGUCGCCGGGGUCGUCCCCGCCCCGCUCCCGCUCGUCUGCCUCUACAUGCUGCUCGCCGCGCAGGCGCAGACCUUCAUGAACACGGCCGAUGUCGUCACCGCCGUAGAGAACUUCCCCGACCGCCGCGGCACCGUCAUCGGCAUCAUGAAGGGGUUUCUAGGCUUGAGUGGGGCGAUACUGGUCCAAGUACAGCGGACUCUCCGUAUUGAUCCCGGCAGUUUCAUACUUAUGCUGGCAAUACUACCCACAGCCAUCGCGUUGCUGCUCAUGUACUUUGUCGACGUCCACAGCGCUCAUGAGCGGUACAACAAGAAGUUCCUCGAUGCUUUCUCUCUCAUGGCCGUUACUGUUGCUGGGUUCCUGAUGGUUGUCAUAAUCUGCGACCAAGUAUUCGUGAUAAGUUCAGCCGGGCAGAGCGUUUGCUUUGGGAUACUCCUUCUAUUGAUCCUGUCUCCCGCAGCUAUUGUUGUAAGGGCUCAGAGGACGGAACCGAAGCAGCAAGAAGAACCAACGCCGGAAGAACAAACUGGUUUACUUCUUCAUGAGGAGACUGCGCAGCAGGAUUCGGAGAACGCCAGCUCUAGCAUGGCGCUCGUGGGAUCUAACAGUCAGGACAUGUCGUCGGACAAAGCAGAGAACCUGAACGUGGUGCAGGCCAUGUGCAAACUUGACUUCUGGCUGCUCUUCGUUGCGAUGGCCUGCGGGAUGGGGUCGGGGCUGGCCACCGUGAACAACAUCAGCCAGAUCGGGGGCUCCCUUGGCUACACGAGCAGGGAGACCAGCACUCUGGUGUCGCUAUGGAGCAUCUGGAACUUCUCAGGGAGGUUCGGCGCAGGCUACGUCUCUGAUCACUUCCUCCGGUCGCGAGGAGUCGGCAGGCCUUUCUUCAUAGCCGCGACGCUUCUGGUCAUGGGCGUAGGCCAUGCCAUCAUCUCCUCCGGUUUCCACGCGUCGCUCUACGUCGGCUCCGUCCUUGUAGGACUGUGCUACGGGUCUCAGUGGGCUUUGAUGCCGAGCAUAACUUCAGAGAUCUUCGGGCUAAACCAUUUCGGCACCAUAUUCAACACGGUGGCCGUCGCGAGCCCUGUUGGCUCUUACAUCCUCUCGGUGUGCGUGGUCGGGUUCAUCUAUGACAAGGAGUCACCGCAAGGUGAGCUUGCCUGCGCCGGUAAGCACUGCUUUGCGCUCUCCUUCAUGAUCAUGGCAUGUGUCUGCGUCUUCGGGUCUGCUGUUGCUUUUGUAUUGUUUGUCAGAACAAGGAAGUUUUAUAGGCGGGUUAUAUACGCCCGACUGCUCUCUUUUGUAGAUAAAUGA